GGAGAUCCCUCCUUGGUGGGAGCCUUUUCCUGCGAGCCCCAAAUCUUCCGAUUCGGGCUGAGGAAUUUUAACUGACAAUUUUAAAUACGCUCAUUGGCAAUCAUAAGAAGUCAGACUGGAAAAAUGUUGCUAAAUGAAUGAAAUGACAACUUCAGGACAGUUGAAGAUCUGUGGAAUUCUUCAUCGGUUUGGUAUCAAGGGGCAUUAUUAGAACUGUAAAAAUUACUAUAAUUUAUAGCUAUCGAACAAGGCUGAGGUAAUUUCUGAAGCUUACAGUGUGAGUAGCACCAUACUGACUGAGGCUGACCAAAAGCCUCUUGGGCUGCAUUCUCAUCUCUUGCUAUCAAAAGUAGCAGAUUCUGGGGGACAAACAUGUACUUGGGCUAUCAUGAACUGAGAUCUUUUGAGUUUAUUCCCUUGGCUUCUUGCAGACUUAUUGUAUUUCCCGAAUGGACCUGCUUUUAAGAUCCAUUUGUGCAUGAUGAAACAAAAAUAAGAGUGGGAGGCACAGUUUUGGUGAUUCCAGAUUGUAUGCAAUGUUAUUAUCUUUGUAUUUAUGAGUUUAAAUAAUAUUAAUGCGGAGUAACUCAAAUGGAAUAUCAGAUAUGUUCUGUAGGAGCUUUGACUAACGAAACAGAUCUGAACAUCCAGAGUGCUGCAGCAGUGCUGAAUGGACUGGAAAGGAAUGGAAUGUAUCUUUGAAGCUGUGCUUAAUAACAUCCUUUAACCAGCUUCAGCAGCCAGCUUUGCAGAAGCAAAGAUUUCGGCUCCACUGUUGGUAGCCAUCAACAUGCUGGACCACGGAUGUCAUUUUUGUUUGUGGUUGGUGUUUUUUUCUUUGAGUUUUCUACUUUUCGGUAUUUUUUUUUUCUCUCCUGUAAAGAUUACACAGUAGUCAUUCCCCAGUCAAUACUAAGGCAAGAAAAUAGUUCUGGUAACUGCCUCAUUCUGAAUAGUCACUGUUGACAGAAAACAGCAAAAAUCUUUGUGCUUCACAGAUUUCCUUAUCUAUGUUCUCCUUAGAAAAUACUUUCUUUGGAUACUGAGAAGAUGAUCAAGCCCUAUAUUAGGAAAUAAUAAUUAUGGGGAGAAAAAAUAUCAGAAUUAAGAGUUUUAGGGUUUGGUCUUGACAAUACAAUGUGAAAAAAGCACAUCCAUCCCUCUAUUUGAUAAAUAAACCUAUUGUAAUGAGCAACUGCGUGGUUCAUUACUGGGCAGGGUUAUGUUUGCACCUGUGUCUAUGUAUUCUGCCACUACAAGUGGUGUUCAUGCACACACCUGAGAUUGUGUGUGUGUACACAGUAAGUGCCCAGUAUAGCAGUGACGCCGUAGCAAGCAGCAUUUCAAAGUUACUAGAGCUGAAACAGAGUGGGACGCCUGUGUGGACACAGUUGAGUUUGACCUCUGCUGCCUUGAAGGAAAACAAACACUACACCAAGCUGUAUUUUUGCAGCCACAGGAAGAUGUGACUCCAGGCAAAUAGAAUUUGUGCUUGCCAGAGUUUUUAACUGCGGUGCUUAUUGUUGAGAAUAACUUCAGACUGUUUUAAUCCUGAGUUAUUAUUAAGAAACAGAGGUAUAUUUAAGCUUGCUUUGCAAAAGAAGGAAAAAAUCCCUCAUCGUGCUAUAGGCACAGUUUGAUUACUCAGUUGCACAGUAAUUUGUCCAAUUAAAGCUUUAGGCUCCCAUUGAACUAACCCUUUGUUGGGUAAAAGUAAAACAUGGGCUAUUGAGUUUAUGUCCUGAGUGUUACCAUUUUCACCAAUGAGGAACGUUCUGCUUCAGGCAUUAAACAUACGUGACUCGUAGUUACUGUCUCUGUCACUUCUGCCAUAGACAAGGGUGUUUUGCAAGUAUUUUAGUUAGGACAUAUGGAUAGUCCUUAUGGUCAUGUGAAACCCUGACUGCCUAGCCACCAGUAACCACCGGUAAACGCCUAGUAUUUUUCAAGUAUUGAAGAAAUACCUGGUCUUUUUCAAUUCCUGUUCCUUGGGUUUAUUUUUAAACCUAGCUCAGUCUCUCCUAUAACUCACCUCUUUCCUUCACCUUUGGAUUUGCCAUGUUGUGGUUUAUGAUCAGACUGUGGAGCCGUACACGGCUGUGCCUGGGACAUUCCUUUCAAUUCAGGUUUACUUUUGUGGUUGCUAGAUGUGAGACUGGAAGGAACACCAUCACCCUGUUCCUCCUCUUUCUAGACAGAUGCUGGUAAUAACACGCACCAAAAGACGCUUCUGCUAGCAAUGCAUUUAGGAUGACUCAUAUUGAAUGCACCACAGGUUUUUUUUCUUGGUUGGACUGUAGAUAUAAAAGCAUUCCAGGCUGUUUUCCAAACGCCAGGUGGCAGCUCUUUGCAAAGCGCUCUCUGGUCUCACCAGCCUUUUAAUUACCGGGAUUCUGGCAGGUCUGAGGGAGCGCUGGUUGAUCUCAUUUGGUCAAAACACGGGUACUGCUUUCCGUAGAGAUGACCUGUUUCUCUCUUGCAGUUUAUGAAACUGUUCAACAGCAAAUCAAACGUACUGAGAUAGGAAGAAAAAAGAAGUGCUACUGUUUGCAAUUUUUGUUCAUUUGGUACAGGAAUCCAUUUUUAAAAUUCAGAAUCUAUCUGGUUUUGUUUACUAGUGGUUUUUAACUUUUUUUUUUUAGCUUUUUCCUUCUUGGCCGAGACUGUGUGAUAAUAGGAAUGAAAAAGAACCUGCCAGGUAAUCUGGAUUACAUACUUCAGUUGCACUCAAUAGCAGGCUCAAAACUGCUGGUCUUUCCACAAAUCCUCUGCGUUGUCAUCCUAUGGUAGAGACCUUCUGCAACUACAAUGCUUUUUCUGGACUAGCAACCACAGCAGGACAUACAGUUUAAGGAUGCAGACCCAAAGGGGAAAAAAAAAGUGUUAUUUUUAACAUUUUCUCUCUAAUAAUAAUCAUCAUUCAUAACUUACAGCUUAUGCUGUGUAAGGACUGCGAAAACCAAUGAUUGAUUUAAAUCUGCCUUAAUGUUUUUUUACCGAAGGCAAAAACUCCACACACCGGUGCUUAAUCAUACUUUGCAUCAUGUACAAGCAUGCAGCUUUCCAUACAAAUUCCAUAAGGUGCUUAAUCUGCUAUUGCAAAAAUACUUAUUUGCAUACAAUCACA